rnacentral:rRNA from 1 species
GUCGAGAAUCUUCCCCAAUGGGCGAAAGCCUGAGGGAGCGACGCCGCGUGAGGGAUGAAGGCCCUUUGGGUUGUAAACCUCUGUUAGGGGGAAAGAAAAGCAGUGGAAGCAAUAUGUCCAUUGCCUGACGUUACCCCCAGAGAAAGCUCCGGCCAACUCCGUGCCAGCAGCCGCGGUAAUACGGGGGGAGCAAGCGUUGUCCGGAAUCAUUGGGCGUAAAGGGCGUGUAGGCGGCUUGGCAAGUCGAAUGUGAAAUCCCACGGCUCAACCGUGGAACUGCGUUCGAAACUGCCUUGCUUGAGUGCGGGAGAGGUGUGCGGAAUUCCUGGUGUAGCGGUGGAAUGCGUAGAUAUCAGGAAGAACACCGGUGGCGAAGGCGGCACACUGGCCCAGCACUGACGCUGAGGCGCGAAAGCGUGGGGAGCGAACGGGAUUAGAAACCCCAGUAGUCC